GUCCAUCUGGUCUAUUGAACCGUUUCUUUCUCCAUCUAUGCAAUUUUUACUUGCAUGUUGCAUCAAUCAUCAUACUUUUUUUUUCCUUUCUCUUGUAUAUUUUUCUUACAAUUGUCUCCUUCUCAAGUUUGUAGAUAAGGGGAACUCAAGUUCUCCUCAGAGAGUGAUCAUUUGAGAACAAUCUGCAAUGGGGCAUGCAUGUGAAAGUAUUGAAGCAAAAUCGUUGGUUUGAGUGGGAGUAAAGAUGGGAUUUUUCUGAAUGCGGCAAAUAUUCACCUUAAGCCUAGCCUUGGAUCUACAAGAGAGAAGAAGGAAAGGAUGAUACUGGUGCCCAACAUCAAGAUUCACAUCACCUCAAAUCAGAAAUAGAUGGAAAAAUCAGAGUGAAGGCGUGCAGACAAGGCUGCACCAAUUAAAUUAGAUGGUGAAGGCUUAGUAAAUGUGAGGUGGUGAGAACAUAAUUUUAUAGGAACUUUACAGUAGAUGCUUCUUUAGUGUAAGCUUUCCUUAGGAUAGUGAUAAUUCGGUAAGUAAUUGGUGAACCAAAGUAAAAGUGAAUACAUAGUUUUCAGGUGUAGCGUUACUACAAGUGUACUUGAUGUGUUUUUUUGUGCAUAAAAUAAUAUGCAUCAGAUGGAUAUGUAGCUGAGCAUUUUCCCUGAAUUGUAUCUGGAAUCUGUUAUAAUAAGGAUCAUGUACAUAUCUAUUAAUAUCCAUAUCCAUGUAGAAGGACAUUCUCUGUUCUGUUUUGAUGUUUUUUAAUGGGGAUACUUAGCAUUUAGCAAUUACCAUACGCAAAAUGAAGCUAUUAUUUUAACUGUUUAACUGGAACUAACUAAUAGAAGAUUUCAUGAUUGGUAAGAUUUU